UGUCGUGAGAUGUUCGGUUAAGUCCGCUAACGAGCGCAACCCUCGCUGUAUGUUACAUGUGUCAUACAGGACCGCCGGUAUCAAGCCGGAGGAAGGUGGGGAUGACGUCAAGUCCGCAUGGCCUUUAUGUCCGGGGCUACACACACGCUACAAUGGUCGGUACAAUGGGUUGCUAAGCCGCGAGGUGGAGCCAAUCCCCCAAAGCCGGCCUCAGUUCAGAUUGCAGGCUGCAACUCGCCUGCAUGAAGCUGGAGUUGCUAGUAAACGCGCGUCAGCUAUAGUGCGUUGAAUACGUUCUCGGGCCUU
rnacentral:rRNA from 1 species